UACGUAGGGGGCAAGCGUUGUCCGGAUUUAUUGGGCGUAAAGAGCGUGUAGGCGGCCUUACAGGUCAGCUGUGAAAACUCGAGGCUCAACCUCGAGACGCCGGUGGAAACCGUAAAGCUAGAGUCCGGAAGAGGAGAGUGGAAUUCCUGGUGUAGCGGUGAAAUGCGCAGAUAUCAGGAGGAACACCCGUGGCGAAAGCGGCUCUCUGGGACGGUACUGACGCUGAGACGCGAAAGCGUGGGGAGCAAACAGG
rnacentral:rRNA from 1 species